AGUGAACGCUGGUGGUAGGCCUAACACAUGCAAGUCGAACGGCAGCACAGUAAGAGCUUGCUCUUACGGGUGGCGAGUGGCGGACGGGUGAGGAAUACAUCGGAAUCUACUUUUUCGUGGGGGAUAACGUAGGUAAACUUACGCUAAUACCGCAUACGACCUACGGGUGAAAGCAGGGGAUCUUCGGACCUUGCGCGAUUGAAUGAGCCGAUGUCGGAUUAGCUAGUUGGCGGGGUAAAGGCCCACCAAGGCGACGAUCCGUAGCUGGUCUGAGAGGAUGAUCAGCCACACUGGAACUGAGACACGGUCCAGACUCCUACGGGAGGCAGCAGUGGGGAAUAUUGGACAAUGGGCGAAAGCCUGAUCCAGCCAUACCGCGUGGGUGAAGAAGGCCUUCGGGUUGUAAAGCCCUUUUGUUGGGAAAGAAAAGCAGCAGGUUAAUACCCCGCUGUUCUGACGGUACCCAAAGAAUAAGCACCGGCUAACUUCGUG
rnacentral:rRNA from 1 species